rnacentral:rRNA from 1 species
CUGGCGGCAUGCCUAAUACAUGCAAGUCGAACGGCUGAAGCACUCUGCUUGCAGAGUGCGGAUGAGUGGCGAACGGGUGAGUAACACGUGGGAAAUCUGCCUAAGAGUGGGGGAUAACAUUCGGAAACGGAUGCUAAUACCGCAUAUAUUCUUGAACCGCAUGGUUCUGGAAAGAAAGACGGCUUUGCUGUCGCUUUUAGAUGAUCCCGCGGCGUAUUAGUUAGUUGGUGGGGUAACGGCCUACCAAGACCAUGAUACGUAGCCGACCUGAGAGGGUGAUCGGCCACACUGGGACUGAGACACGGCCCAGACUCCUACGGGAGGCAGCAGUAGGGAAUCUUCCACAAUGGGUGCAAACCUGAUGGAGCAAUGCCGCCGUGAAUGAAGAAGGUCUUCGGAUCGUAAAGUUCUGUUAUUAGAGAAGAACAAGUCGAGGAGUAACUGUCUCGACUUUGACGGUACCUAACCAGAAAGUCACGGCUAACUACGUGCCAGCCGCGGC